GAAAGGUGGGUUAGGGUUUGAAUUUCUUUCCUUUGAUUCUCCUUAAAUCUUCCACCAAAUCACAAAGUCCACUACAUGAAAUCAAUAGUAGACCACCCAAUGAAUCUAUUCCACCACUUAGUUUGAGCUGAUUUUGCUUGUGGAGAAAGUUCUUCCUCCCCCCAUUUUCGUGUCACUAUUCAUCAAAGAGGAGGAAGUAGAGUUUUGAUGGAGCUUUGCUUGGAGGUUGCUCUCUAGGCUUUGUACAAGUGAUUAGAGGUGUGCCUAGGGACUGAAAAGGGUUGAUUUUUUGUUGGAGCUAUAUAAGUAACUUGUGCAACAAGUAAUCGAACUUGAAAAGCUUCAAGAGAUGUCUUCUUGGGAUUCCCUGAGAUUGAUGGUGUACACCUCUGACAUGUUCUGGUUCCGCUUGGGGUCCUCCCUUAGGAACACGUGCGUUGAUUUCCGCUUGGGGUCCUCCCUUGAAAAUGACGGUGCACGCCUCUGAUAAGAUAUGUAUAUAUGCUUUGUUCUGUUAUGAUAUCUGUUAUAUGUUGCACUUGUAUACUCUGUAUCUGACUUUCAUGCAGGAGUGAGCCAGAGGUAUGGAGAAUUCUCUAUAAACCUGGAGCUUAUUGAGAUUUGUUAUCUCACCCCUUCUUGGGAACAUCAUUUCAGGUUCUCAGUUUCUCGGUGAGUCCUCACUAGGCAGGGACGCGACCCGUGGCUAAGGCAUUCGACGGACCAGAGUUGGAGUAGCUGUAGGCUGCUUCUGUUUUGGAGUGUAUUUAUGUUAUUUCGUAUUUCAGUAUUUUGUGGAUCAUGAUGUUUGAUCCUUUACUUCGUAUAUGGCCUGCAUAUGUUUUGUACAUGUCUGUCAGUCUGAUGCAUGUACAUUUGGGUAUUCAAG